UGUGCUAGUCUAGUUUAUAUACGUUUUAAACUUUUUUAUUUUUCAAAAUUUCAGAUCUACAUUCUGUUCAUUUCUCUUUCAUUUAUCUCUCUUCAUUUUCUCUCUAUGCUUUUCAAAAUUUAGCCCAAAUUUCUAGGUUUUGUUCGAUUUUCUUCGUAAUUAUCUUAUAAUUCUUAUAAUUGGAUCUAUUAGAUGAGGAAAAAUUGGAGGAAGUAGUAGAUCAAGAAGGAGGUUCGUCGUUGCCGAAAUCGAAUCGAAGAAUUUGCGCUCGUCUACAAAUCUUCGCAAGAAUUUUUAGAGAUCGCAUCUCGAAAUACAAAGAUGAUCAUCUAGAAUUGAAUUCGUGCAAAGAAUAACUUCUGCAAGGAAAACAAAAGCAGGAUCGAAGAAGAAGAAGAAAAUUCUGACAACAAUGAAAACCAAGGACGUGGUAAAGGAAGGAGAGGACCCGGGCGUGGAAGGAGAGGACGUGCUACUAUAUUUUUGAAAGAGUUAAUAGUAACUAUAGAAUAGAAAGAGUUACUAUAUGAUAUAGAAGAGUAACUAUUUCUGUACGAUAAAUAUUUACUAUAUGAUAUAAAGCAGUCAAUAUCUUUGUGUAUA